UCACACUUAUGUCUUUGGAAUCAGGCACUUUGGAAGUGUUCCUUGAAAAGGCAAUGCCCUGGGCACUUCUGGAGGCUGAAUGCUUAUAUGGGAACCAUUUGCUUUUCAUGUGAAGGCAUCCCAAGUAGCCAGGGGAGAGAGGCAACCUGGGUAACCAUCAAUGCCAAGCCCCACAAGGUCACUAUUGAAAAUACUGUUUGUUUUACCAAGGCUUUGACUGGAAUGUCAUAUUUGAGGAUGACAUUCAUAGACUCAGAUAUGACCAGACAGCUUUAAGGAACUAGGAUUGGCAUUAUAAAACAUGGACCCAUAAAGCCCCUUGGAAAUGUUGGUCUGGUGCCUUGCUUACAGUUCUCCCAGCAGCCUCACCAGCUAUUUAUACAAUAAUAUAACAUUGGACUAAAGUGGGAAGCCUUCUGGAGGUUGAGCUUUGAGUCAUUCUGUGUGAUCUCCAAACAGGUCAUGGGUCACAACCAGGUGGAACCGGUCUGUCAGCCACACAGCUGCAUCUAGGAUUUGUGGCUCUGGUGUUCAACGUCUUUUGGCUUCUACACUUCUUUGUUUGAGAGACGCAGGAUGUAUGGAUCACCUAUUUCUCUGCCAUGUCGGCCCCUCCUCCCUGGAGACCAUCUUUCAACUACAUCUUGUUUCACCAAGUAAGAAGGGUUUGAAAACCUGUAGGAUCUUAUGCGGAUAGUGCCAUACACUCAACUCUGUCAAACUGCCCUUUGGGGAAACAAUUUUUCAAAUAACAUCUUGUAUCACUGAGUUAAAAGUGUUUGAAAACCUAUGUGGGGCACGAAGUGGAGAGUGACAUGUACUUGAUACUCUGAAACAAUCCUGCGGAGGAACCAUCUUUCAACUAACAUCUUUUGACUAAGUUAGAAGAGCUUGAAAGCAUAUGCAGACGUAUAUGAUAAGUGCUAUAUACUCGACUAUGUGAAACAACACGGUGGGGAAAACACCAUUCAACUAACAUCUCCUUACUCUAAGUUAGAAGAGGUUGAACAAUGAUGGGAGGCCUAUACUGAAAGUGCCACAUAUUCACCUUUGUGAAACUGCACAUUGGGUAAACCAUCUUUCAAGUAACAUCUUUGUGUCACGUAGUUGGAAUUAUUUGAAAUUUUAUGCGGAGAACGAUGUGGAAAGUGACAUUUGCUCCACCCUGUGAAGGAAUACUGUGGAGAAACCAUCUUUCAACUAACAUCUUGAUUCACAAAGGUAGAACCGUUUGAAAACAUAUGUGGGGUCAACACAGAAAGUGCGAUACACUCAAUUCUGCGAAACAACACUGUGUGGAAAACAUUUUUCAACUAACAUCUUAUUUCACUAAGUUAGAAGUGUUUGAAACCUAUGGUGGCAGAAAGUGCCCUAUACACAAUUAUGUGAAAAAAACACUGUGGUGAAACAA